rnacentral:lncRNA from 1 species
AUAACCUUCCAAUUGAGGCUCAGAUCUAUAAGAUUGAAGACAAGGCAAGAGAUUGGAGACACCGCCAUGGCUGCAAACACCGGUUGCAUGUCGUCACCGUCCGGGUCGCCCCGCCAAGUUACGGCUCCGAUUGUUCCCUUGCCCUAAUCAAUUUGCUCAGAGACAGAAGAAAAAAUUAUCAUCAUAGCCUCAGAUUUUUGCUACAAUUAUUAUUCAUUCUUAUUCUAAUAAUUUUUUUUUCCUAUUUUAAUUAUUUCUAGUUCAAAAUAUUCAUAUUCACGCUCAUUAUCCAAUUACACUCACUUUAUCCAUUUUAACUAUUAUUUUGUCACAUAUGCUUGGUCAACGGUCAAAGGGAUUUAAAUAAUAGACUUUGAUCCAACAAUGGUUCCUCCAAAUAAAGAAAAGAGAAAAAAACUAAAGAAGUCCAAAAUCAAAAGAUUUAAACACUUCACAUGGAAAGAAACGCCACAUUCUUAAUAAAAGAGUAGCUAACAUUGAUUUUAGUUUGGACAACAGACUAACAUAUGCACCAUGAAUUUCUAGAACUUGAACGCCAACUUGCAGAGAUUACAUUCUUAAUAAGUUUAACACACAUGACCUUAGAUUUUUUGUUUUGUUUGUUUAACUAAAAUUUUGAUGACAACAAUUAUUGUUGUAUUUUUUAAAAGACAAGUUGCCUUGACACUAGAAACUUUAGUCAUUUAAUAUGAGCAUGAAUAUUUAUUUAAUCAUUAAAAAAACUUGAAGUUCGGGAAAUUAAGUAACAACUUGAGCCAUGGAAAACUAUACUAUUUCACCCCAGGAACAAGCUCAACUUCAAAAUAUAAAUAAGCACUUGAUCAUUAUAAAUAAAAGAACCAGACUACAUAUCAAAUAUUUACAAAGAAAAGUAAAAUCAGUUUAACUUGCUAACAGUAAAAGUAGAAUCUUUAAGCUAUUUUUCCCCCCAAAGUUUCAGGUGAAAUGACUGUCUGUAAACCUGUUGUGGCAGAAGCAAGGAGGAAAAAGGUCUUUUCAGCCACCCUACUAGUAAAAAGUAAGCUACUAAUGUACCCUAUUUCACGAUUGAUUAUCUAAUAUUCAGUUUUAAACCAUCAGCAUCAAACUAACUUGCUCAACAUAAAUCAAACUCAAACAAGAACUCAACUCACUAAUUGAAUUGACAAAGUAAACAUAACUUGAGUCGUAACUAAACUAAGUACUCCAACUAACUAGAUUAAACCAAAUUAAAGUAUGUGAACUAACACUGAACAACCGAACCAUUGAUUAGUAGUAACUGCUUAACUGACAAAUCUUCAAAGGUGACAUUAACAAUGAACUAAGCGGCUAGCUAAUUUCGAUUUAGACUAGCAUAACACAUUGACAAGCGAUAUAAUCGACCGACUAGGUCGGACAACAAGAAUUCCAAAUAUAACUAUACUAACACAUGGAACGACAUUCGAGCACUAAUAAUUAGUAAAGACUAGCAAUUGAAUGACAAAAUUAUAAAAGAUACAUUAAAACCCAAAGCAUGGCAUACUGGCCGAGAAUAAGAAAAAUAGAGCAAAAGGACGAGAUUUGGUAUUUACCACUACUCGAGGCAACGGUUCCGACCUUCGAGCACACUUUUCUUAAUGAUAGAUGAUGGUUCAGCCAUCCUUGAAACCAAAGCCUUGGCACCAUCAUCGUAUCACAAAGGAAAGAACGCUCAAGAGUCGGGGAGGAAAAUUGAAGGAGGGUGUGGAAGUUCGGUGGUGGACGGAAGUUUCGUCGGAAAAUGUUUAUCGUAUUUUCGGCUUGAGACCAACGUUAAACAAUAGUCCUCCUCGAGCUUUGUCCGUGUAUAUAGGUGUUGGGGGUAAAUAUGGCUCAAAUCUCACGAAUUUAAGAUGAAGAAAAAAGUGACAAGUUGGGCUUCUUAGAUUUACUAUUCAUGAAAUUUGAAGGAUUUUUUUUAAGGAUUUGGUUUGGACAUAUGAAAAGAAUAGGUUGUGGAGAUUAUAUGCUGAAAUUUUGGGAGUGAUUGGAGGUGGCCAGCCGGUGGUGACGAUUUUCGGCCAGUGGAGAUGGGCGAUAGUAGGGCGGAGACGGUAAGGAGAGAGGGGAGAGGUAGAGAGAGAGGAGAGCAAAG